UAGCGUUGCUCGGAAUCACUGGGCGUAAAGCGCACGUAGGCGGCUUGCUAAGUCAGGGGUGAAAUCCUGGAGCUCAACUCCAGAACUGCCUUUGAUACUGGCGACCUUGAGUCCGGGAGAGGUGAGUGGAACUGCGAGUGUAGAGGUGAAAUUCGUAGAUAUUCGCAAGAACACCAGUGGCGAAGGCGGCUCACUGGCCCGGUACUGACGCUGAGGUGCGAAAGCGUGGGGAGCAAACAGG
rnacentral:rRNA from 1 species